AACGGAAAGGCCCUGCUUGCAGGGUACUCGAGUGGCGAACGGGUGAGUAACACGUGGGUGAUCUGCCCUGCACUUCGGGAUAAGCUUGGGAAACUGGGUCUAAUACCGGAUAGGAACCAUCUUUAGUGUGGUGGUUGGAAAGUUUUUUCGGUGUAGGAUGAGCUCGCGGCCUAUCAGCUUGUUGGUGGGGUAAUGGCCUACCAAGGCGGCGACGGGUAGCCGGCCUGAGAGGGUGUACGGCCACAUUGGGACUGAGAUACGGCCCAGACUCCUACGGGAGGCAGCAGUGGGGAAUAUUGCACAAUGGGCGCAAGCCUGAUGCAGCGACGCCGCGUGGGGGAUGAAGGCCUUCGGGUUGUAAACUCCUUUCGCUAGGGACGAAGCUUUUUUGUGACGGUACCUAGAUAAGAAGCACCGGCUAACUAC
rnacentral:rRNA from 1 species